UGCUGGUGGCGGCCAGGGGCAGUGCCCGCGCGGGCUGCUGCCCUCCUGAGGAGCCGCUGGCGGGCGGAGCGCGCCUCGCGGGGCAGACGGUGUUGGGGAGGAGGGCUGUGAGGGGCGGCCAAAGGCAGCUAAUGACAUCGUGUACGGGCGUUUAAACUUCUUGUACAAAAAUGUUCCAGAAAGAGAGAGAACAAAGUUUCCAUCAUUAGAUGUCACAUUUCUGUUUGGAUUAAUAAUAUUGCAACUGUGUUCCCAUUCUUAUUGUGAUCAAUUGCCAUCAAUUUGAAUAUACA